CCUUCAUCCAACAGGACUGGUGUCCUCAGAAGAAGAAGAGCUACCUGAGGAUGUGUCACACAGAAAAAAGGCCGUGAGAGGACACAACCAGAAGGUAGCUGCCUGCAAACCAGAGAAAGAGAUCUCACCAGAAACCAACCCUGCUGGCAGCAUGAUCUUGGACUUUCAGCUUCCAGAACUUGAAACUGCUAGUAAGUGGUAGAAGCAGAGGUUGGAGCCAGCUCUUUUGGAUCCAGGGAGCUCGUCACUAUACCACAUGUUAUUCUAAUACUUCAGAGGUUGGAAAACGAAUAUGGCCCUUUCGUUCAUGACCUCCUCCCAGGAGCAGAGCAGCAGAUAGUGGGGCCAAGAGUGGCCCAAGAACACCCACUGGGGACCUAAUGACGACCACAUUGCGCAAGUCCUGUUUAUCCUUCACUGUGGAAAUCACGUCAUCAUGGAGGCUUCAGAUUCUUUUGUGAUCGUGUAUUCUGGUGCAAGAACCCCUUCCUGGGAUACUGGGUAAAGGGUAGAAUUUCCUGAUGGGGGAUGUGAAACCAUGGUUAAAAUAAGAGAUGACAUUGAAGGAGCUUUCAUGAACACAAUCAAAAAAUUCUUGGAAUUCAAUAAUAAAAAUAUUUAUUAAUAUACUUAUUUUAGCAGAGUAGUCAGUAUUUAUUGAGAACUUAGUAUGUAGUAGACUGUUCUAUGUGCUUUAGACAUCUUAUAUCUUUUAAUUUUCAAGUGCAUGCAAUUUCCAGUCUGUGUGUUGCUAGAGUGAUGGCUGAAAGAGAUGGAAAAGGCAGCCCACAAAAAAGCCUCUGCCACUUCCAGAUUGAUUUUUCAUUGAAUUUGCAGUUGUUUGACUUAAUGCACCAAGCCAUCUGGUUUCUUGGGCAUCCUGUGGACACACAACUUGGCCAGGUCACUUUAGACCUCUCACUUUUUAUUUGAUCUUAUGAUGUAAAGCCUGUGAAUGACUCUCAGGGCUGCGUUUCCUCUGUAAGACACAUAGACCUAUUCAAAACAUAGCAGUAGUUUCUGUUUCUGUUCUCCAUUCCAUUUGGGGAACAAGAAGUGUAAACAAUAAAGGGAAUCGUAUUUUAGCUUACUAAUUCUCAGUGCAGUACUUUUGAUAUUAAUGGUUGAAGCGGUCUAGAUGUCGCUGUUGUCAUUGUAGCUCCAUUUUAAUUUUUGUUUUUAAGGGAGUAUCAAGGUUCACUUUAAGGGACCAAAAUAAUUGCUUUCUUAGAUAUAUCCUGAAGUUUCCUUUCUAAACCAUGAUUGAUAUAUCAGCUACAAAUGUUAAACCCCAAAUAUCUACUGUCUGUUUCCUCUGGAGGAAAGAAUUCUAUGAGGUUGAUAACCACUGUGUAAAGUACAUUACUAACCUGUCAAUAUGUCUAUGUUCUCUCUAGUACCCUGAGUGUUAGGGAAUGUGUCUUCCUUCCAUCAAAGUCACUCUAUACAGAGAUUACAUAUGAUAUGCUAGGGACUAGGGAUUCAGCGCUGUAUACAACAGAUGAUCGUCCCCUCAUGGAGGUGACAUUCUAGUGGGAGGAUAUGCAUUAUGGUUUUAUGGACAUGGAUCCCAUUCUUCUUAGUCUUCUGUCUCAUUCAGUUUUCCUCUUUGAUAAUAAGAUCUAUCUUCUCCAUGAAAAUUCCCCUGAAGACUUCAGAAAUAUUAUUGAUAAGACUCAUUUGGAAUAUAUACACUUGUAAUUUUGUAUUGUCAUCUACUUUUUUUAUACGCAAAUGUCUCUUCUCCAUAGCUAGACAUGAUCGUGUUUCUACUCAUAAAACUUCUGACAGUAAAUGUGUAUCUUUUUUCAUCCACCUAACAACCAGUUUUUCAGUUCUCUAGACACCAACUGAGCGUCCUACAAUUCAACUCAUUUCUGACACUAACUACUCAGAGUUAGCACAGAUCCCACAAGUCAAGAGCUCAGUCCCACAAGACUGUCUCACUUCAGAUGCCAGUUGCAAGUCCCAGGUUUCCAUCUGUACUUCUGACCAAUGGCUGUAAAUUCAUGGGGCUCUCACAACUCCCUCGUCAGGCUCGAUAAUUUGUUACAAAGGCUCACAAAACUCAUGAAAACAGUUAUUUACUAUUAUUACUUUAUUAUAAAGGAUACAACUCAGGAACAGCCAAACAGAAGAGGGCCAGGUGUAGGAGAAGCAGCGCAGAACUUGCAUGCCCUCUCGGGGCGUGCCACCCUCCCAGUACCUCAAUGUGUUCACAAACCUGGAAGCUCUUGGAACCCCAUUGUUUAAGGGUUUCUAUGGAACUUCCAUUCUGGAGGCAUGAUUGAUUGAAUCAUUGGCCAUAGGUGACUGAACUCAAUCUCUGGCCCCUUUUUCCUCCCAAAAGGUCUCGGGGGGGGGGGGGGGGUGGCCUAAAAGUCUCAACCCUCUAAUCACAUGGUUGGUUCCUCUGGCAACCAGCCGCCAUCCUAAAGCUAUCUAGGGGCCCUCCAAGAGUCACCUUAUUAGUGUAAACUCAGGAAUGCUUGAAAGGGGCUUUUUAUGAAUAACAAAAGAUACUUCUGUCACUGCUAUCACUCAGGAAAUUCCAAGGGUUUUAGAAAAUCUGUGUCAGGAACUGGGGAUGAAGAGCAAAUAUAUAGUUCUUAUUCUUACACUAGAUUUUUAAGUUUCUAAGGGGAGGGAUCACUACACACAUUGUUUUAUUACUUUUUAUUUUGCAAAUAUUUACAUACACAAAAACUAUAAAUAAAAGAAGAUAAACACAUGUACCCAUGACACAGCUUAAGAAAUAGAACAUUACCUGUGCAUUUGAAGUUCCCUGUGUUCUCCUGUCUGAUCAUGUCCCACUUCUUCCCUGCCUCUAGAGGGAGCCACUGGUGUUUACCUCCCAAGGUACUUCCAACACUUUAACUACAAUAGACCCUUAAGCACUAUAUAAUAAUAUUCUCUUGCAUGUUUUUAAAGUUUAUACAAAUAAUCUCAUACCAAUGUGUUUGUUCACUUGCCCUUUUCUCUCAACAUUUAUGUUCAUGAGAAUUCGCCACAUUGAUAAGUGUAGCUGUAGUUUAUUCCUUUUCUCUGCUAUAUAGUAUUUCAUUGUUUGAACACAACACAGUUUUUUCAUUCUCUUGUUUGUGAAUAUUUAGAUUUUUUUCUUAUUUUCUACUCUUCUAAGUCUUUAUAACCGUAAUGUCUUUUGGGUAAAAGGUAGUCAGUAAAUACACUGUAUGAUUUUUAUUCCAAAUUAUAAGUCAUCAUCUAUUACCUUCUUGUAUGGAGACGAGUUUAUCUCAUUUAGUUAACUAUGCUUUUCAGUUUCAAUAUGUCUUUCUUAGUGAAGUGUUAUAAUGCCAAACCCAGCAACUUUCCCCUACGUUUUCCAGUAAUCAAAUUCCAAGCUGAGAUCAUAAAUGGGAAGGGUGAGAGGUCGCGUAGAGGUGAAAUUUUCAGUCGUUAUAGUAAAUUAAAGGUCCAAAUAGAAUCUGAUUAAGGAUAAUGCUUACCUUGUAGUGAAACAUGGCUGCUGACUGCCCUUUCUGAGCACACAAACACUGCUCCUGAGCAGUCUCUCUACUACCUUCUGGACAGGUCUCAUUUAUAAAUUUGUAAGUGAACUGCAACUUUCAUGGCUCAUUUUCUGUAACGGAAACUUCCAGAAUUUCUUUAAAUGCAGCCAUCAGCUUAUGGCUUUUAUUAAUCAGUGCUCCAGAAGACAGGCGCCCCAUGGACACCAAAGGCCAAGGGAGACUGCUGCCACUCUGCUGUGCUGCGCUUUUGGAGGUCCCACCAAGAAGCCCAGUGGAUUCCCCUGCCUUAGUCUGGUAAUCCGCAUUGCUGGCGAAGUGCACCUCGUAAACAGCCUACGCCCAGUCAGCUUGACUCCCAGAGAUGGUGUUUGUUUUACUCUGAUGCUUGCGUGGAGGUUCUGCUAUAAGCUACAGGAAAGAGUCUGUGUCUUUAACAAAGAAAUGGAGUUUCCGAGCCUCAAGGAACAGGACUGGAUUUCAGACUGUUGACAUGUCAAAGCUGCUCUUAUGUUCCCUAGAGCAGGAGUCAGCAAACUGUGUCCUGCUGGCCCUAAAUACCUACUGCCUGUUUUUGUAAAUAAAAUUUUAUUGAAACACAGUCAUGCCCAGUUAUUUAGUUUUUGUCUUUGGCUGAUUUUUUGCUAAAACAGCGAAGUUAAGUAGUUAGAGAGCAUCUGGCUUGCAAAUCUUAAAAUAUUUACUGUCUGGGAUUUUACAGAAAAAGUUUGCUCUCAGACUAUACCAGUGGAUGAACCUGGAUUUUUAUGACUGCUUUUAGCUGAAAAAUAGAUGGCUUCAUGAAAGUGAUAACCCAAGACCCAGCAGAUCACGAAUUAAUUAAACAAGUCUAAGUGAACUGAUGAGGAAAUUUUUAUUGUAGUAACUUUUGGGGGAUGUUGUUGUUUUAUUUUUCUGUUUUUUGGAUAGAUGAGGAAGUCCUAUCUUUUU
rnacentral:lncRNA from 1 species